GAUGAACGCUGGCGGCGUGCCUAAUACAUGCAAGUCGAGCGAACAGACGAGGAGCUUGCUCCUCUGACGUUAGCGGCGGACGGGUGAGUAACACGUGGAUAACCUACCUAUAAGACUGGGAUAACUUCGGGAAACCGGAGCUAAUACCGGAUAAUAUAUUGAACCGCAUGGUUCAAUAGUGAAAGACGGUUUUGCUGUCACUUAUAGAUGGAUCCGCGCCGCAUUAGCUAGUUGGUAAGGUAACGGCUUACCAAGGCAAGCAUGCGUAGCCGACCUCAGAGGGUGAUCGGCCACACUGGAACGGGGACACGGUCCAGACGCCUGCGAGAGGCAGCAGUAGGGAAUCUUCCGCAAUGGGCGAAAGCCUGACGGAGCAACGCCGCGUGAGUGAUGAAGGUCUUCGGAUCGUAAAACUCUGUUAUUAGGGAAGAACAAAUGUGUAAGUAACUAUGCACGUCUUGACGGUACCUAAUCAGAAAGCCACGGCUAACUACGUG
rnacentral:rRNA from 1 species